rnacentral:rRNA from 1 species
AGAUUAAGUUAUUAAGGGCGCACGGUGGAUGCCUUGGCACUAGAAGCCGAUGAAGGACGUUACUAACGACGAUAUGCUUUGGGGAGCUGUAAGUAAGCUUUGAUCCAGAGAUUUCCGAAUGGGGAAACCCAGCACGAGUUAUGUCGUGUUAUCUGCAUGUGAAUACAUAGCAUGCAAGAAGGCAGACCCGGAGAACUGAAACAUCUUAGUACCCGGAGGAAGAGAAAGAAAAAUCGAUUCCCUGAGUAGCGGCGAGCGAAACGGGAAGAGCCCAAACCAAUAAGCUUGCUUAUUGGGGUUGUAGGACACUCUGUACGGAGUUACAAAAGAAUUUGUUAGACGAAUAACCUGGAAAGGUUAAUCAUAGAAGGUAAUAAUCCUGUAGUCGAAAACGAAUUCUCUCUUGAGUGGAUCCUGAGUACGACGGAGCACGUGAAAUUCCGUCGGAAUCUGGGAGGACCAUCUCCUAAGGCUAAAUACUCUCUAGUGACCGAUAGUGAACCAGUACCGUGAGGGAAAGGUGAAAAGUACCCCGGAAGGGGAGUGAAAGAGAACUUGAAACCGUGUGCUUACAAGUAGUCAGAGCCCGUUAAUGGGUGAUGGCGUGCCUUUUGUAGAAUGAACCGGCGAGUUACGAUCUGAUGCAAGGUUAAGCAGAAAAUGUGGAGCCGUAGCGAAAGCGAGUCUGAAUAGGGCGAAUGAGUAUUUGGUCGUAGACCCGAAACCAGGUGAUCUACCCUUGGUCAGGUUGAAGUUCAGGUAACACUGAAUGGAGGACCGAACCGACUUACGUUGAAAAGUGAGCGGAUGAACUGAGGGUAGCGGAGAAAUUCCAAUCGAACUUGGAGAUAGCUGGUUCUCUCCGAAAUAGCUUUAGGGCUAGCCUCAAGUGAUGAUUAUUGGAGGUAGAGCACUGUUUGGACGAGGGGCCCCUCUCGGGUUACCGAAUUCAGACAAACUCCGAAUGCCAAAUAAUUUAACUUGGGAGUCAGAAUGUGGGUGAUAAGGUCCAUAUUCGAAAGGGAAACAGCCCAGACCACCAGCUAAGGUCCCAAAAUAUAUGUUAAGUGGAAAAGGAUGUGGCGUUGCCCAGACAACUAGGAUGUUGGCUUAGAAGCAGCCAUCAUUUAAAGAGUGCGUAAUAGCUCACUAGUCGAGUGACACUGCGCCGAAAAUGUACCGGGGCUAAACAUAUUACCGAAGCUGUGGAUUGUCCUUUGGACAAUGGUAGGAGAGCGUUCUAAGGGCGUUGAAGCAUGAUCGCAAGGACAUGUGGAGCGCUUAGAAGUGAGAAUGCCGGUGUGAGUAGCGAAAGACGGGUGAGAAUCCCGUCCACCGAUUGACUAAGGUUUCCAGAGGAAGGCUCGUCCGCUCUGGGUUAGUCGGGUCCUAAGCUGAGGCCGACAGGCGUAGGCGAUGGAUAACAGGUUGAUAUUCCUGUACCACCAUUAUUCGUUUUAAGCGAUGGGGGG